rfam:Nematostella vectensis strain CH2 x CH6 NEMVEscaffold_605_Cont30727, whole genome shotgun sequence.
CCUUCGAUAGCUCAAUCGGUAGAGCGGGGGACUGUAGAUUUAUAAUUGUGAUCCCUAGGUCGCUGGUUCGAAUCCGGCUCGAAGUA